GCAUAUUAGUAGGCGGCGGAAGAUAACCCAAAAGGGAUUCCUUCAGUAAUGGCGAAUGAACGGGGAAAAGCUCAGCAAAGAAAUCAGGGACUCCGGCCUUGAGUUGUGGACUUGAGAGGUAUUGCCAAUGGUGGCGCAGGUGCGGGCCUCUUGGAAAAGGGCACCACAGAGGGUGUGAGUCCUGUUUGUCAUCUGUAGUCCGCCAUGUACGGCAUGCCUCCUCAGAGUCACGUUCCUUGGAAUUGGAGCGCGAAGGUGGUGGUGGCUUUCAUCUCAAGCUAAAUAUGGGUUCGAGACCGAUAGCAAACAAGUACCAUGAGGGAAAAUUGAAAAGAGCUUUGGAAAGAGAGUUAAAAGUGCCCGAACUUGCUGAUAGGGAAGCGAAGGGAGCUGACGUUGCUUGGUGACAUUUUCCGCGCAAGUGUAGGAUGGGUUCUGAUUGCAAUGUGCGUAGUGUUUCUUGCCGUGCGUGUCGAUGCCAAGCAACGAGUGGGGAGAGCACCAGGGAUAAUGAUUGUUUCUGUCCCCGGGUGGACGAAGGUGCCUGGUCGCAUCCAUUUGUGGGCUGAAACAAGUGGUGGCUGGUUGCAGCACUCCAUACCUGCCAAGCAGUUGGGGUGUAGCCCUGAUACGCAGACGAGGACAAAGUGCUUCUGUUCGACCCGUCUUGAA
rnacentral:rRNA from 1 species